UGAAGCGAUCUCUGCCGGCUGCAUCUGUGAGAGAGCUGUGGGCCGAGCUGGGAAACGUCAGGAAUCCUCCUUUACACACAGCGCUCUCUGCGAGAUCGUGCUUUGGCAGCAGGCGUGGUAAAAUCGGAACGAGGGGUGAUUUAAAAGCUGCGACCAGAAUUCUGAUUUAGAACAAUGACAAGAAACGGAGCUGCCGGAGCUGAUUAACUAGCUUGAUAUUUGGAAAACUGCUUUGUUUGUGGGAGAGGUGUGUCCUGAAGAAGUAAUGUACUGCAGUCUGCCCUGUUAACUUCAUGGGAAAAGAGUUUAAGAGGAAACUUUUAAAAGAAAAUAGAGCUUUUCCAGGCUGAAGCUGAAGAGUUGGGAAGAAAACACAAAAUGUCUCCUGAAUCCAAAAAACUUUUCAACAUAAUUAUUUUGGGAGUCUCAUUUAUGUUUCUAUUCACUGCUUUCCAAACAUGUGGAAAUAUUGCGCAAACUGUUAUCACAAAUUUAAACAACACGGAUUUUCAUGGCAGUGGCUACACAAGCAUGUCCAUUAUUUAUGGAGUAUUCUCUGCAUCAAAUCUUAUAUCACCUUCAGUAGUUGCGAUAGCAGGACCUCAAUUCUCCAUGGUUAUUAGUGGCAUAUUUUAUAGCCUGUACAUUGCAGUUUUUAUCCAACCCACUACAUGGGCUUUCUACACUGCUUCUGUAUUUAUUGGCAUUGCAGCUGCUGUACUCUGGACGGCACAGGGAAAUUGCUUGACUAUAAAUUCUGAUGAAAACACCAUUGGAAGGAACAGUGGAGUAUUUUGGGCACUCUUGCAGUCCAGCUUGUUUUUUGGAAACCUCUAUAUAUACUUCGCUUGGCAAGGAAAAACUCACAUAUCAGAGAGUGAUCGCAGAACUGUCUUCAUUGCUCUGACUGUUAUCAGUCUUGUGGGCACAGUUCUGUUCUUUCUGAUUAGGAAACAAGAGGACACAAAAGCUCCAGGGGAGGAAGAUUCUGCUAGUGAAAUCCUGGAGGACAGCUCGUCUGCACAAAACAAAAUGAUGAGAGCAGUGGCUGCCUUCAAGCAAUCUAUAAAGCUGAGCUUCACCAAAGAAAUGAUGCUUCUCAGUGUUACAACAGCCUACACAGGUUUGGUAUUAACAUUCUUUUCUGGAGUAUACGGAACAUGUAUUGGUGCUGUGAAUAGGUUUGGCAGUGAAGAGAAAAGCCUUAUUGGUCUUUCUGGUAUUUUUAUUGGUGUUGGAGAAAUUUUAGGUGGAGGAAUCUUCGGUUUACUGAGCAAGAAUAAUCGCUUUGGCAGGAACCCUAUUGUGAUGCUAGGCAUCGUUGUCCAUUUCAUCGCCUUUUACUUAAUUUUUUUCAACAUGCCAAAUGAUGCCCCUAUUGCUCCUAUGGAAGGAACAGAUGACAUUGCUUAUAUGAUGCCAAGCAAAGAGGUGGCCAUAUUCUGCAGCUUUCUGUUGGGCCUGGGGGACAGCUGCUUUAAUACCCAGCUCCUCAGUAUUUUAGGAUUCCUGUACUCAGAAGACAGCGCUCCUGCCUUUGCCAUCUUUAAGUUUGUUCAGGUGUCUGGGUUAGAAUUGGUGAUAAUUGAGACAGGCUCACACAAUGAUUAUCCUAAUGAAAAUGCUGACUUCAACAAUAAACCAGCGGGGGCCGCUUGGGGCUGUGUGCUGUACCCCUUUGCUACGGGACCGGGCGCUCGGUGCCAAACGCAGGAGGCAGCGGAAAGAAUCGCAGGCUGCUGGAGCGCCUCUGGCCUGUUCAAGCGGAGUGACUGACGGAGGAAAACACAGGCGGAGGAUAAGCAAUAGUGACAAACUCUUAAGGUGGCGGGGCAGAAAAAAGGAGCGAGAAUACCCUGAGCCCCUCAAGAAAUCUGCUAACCAGGAGAAAGUCGAGAUCAAAGAUAAGCCUCCUAAUCCAUUAUCAGCAAAUGCAAUCAGACUCUCCAUCUGCUAUCAAAGGCCCCUGCAGCCCGACAACUGGGAGCCAGCCAUCCGCUGCCUGCCUGCACAGAUGCUUGGUCACCGCCGCCCCUUCGCUCGCCUCUCUCUAGAUUCAGCCUGGUGUCAUCUUCGAUUAGUGGGCUUGUGUUCGAAGUCUGUGUCUCCUCUCGGGGAAAAAGCCAGGUAGAGCUGAUGAGUGGAAGCUCACGCCUGCACCUUAGCUGAAAAAUAAGCGCUGGGUGGUUUAUAGAGCCAUGUUCAAUUUAGUGCUGUGGGCUCCUGUCCAGAAAUAAGAGCCCUUUCUUGGUCAGGGUUGCUUUUGAGAUUUUGUCUGCAGGAGGAGGAGACAGAGGGGAAACUCUUGUGAUGGGUUUUUAUUAAUGGCAUGGGUGGGAGUGCUUGGUUCCUUUCCACCUCCCUCUGUGUUUGAGCUCAGACCCGUUCGGAGGGGAGCAGCGGCAGCCUGGGGUGCGCAGCUCCAGCACGUCAGGUCUCUGUAGAUGCUCACCAAGGAGAAGUUCCUGCCUUGGGGGAAUUCACAGUCUAAGCUGAGGACCCUGUUUUGCAGGUAGGGCACAAAGGUAUUACCUGACUUCUCGAUGGCGUUUGAGUGCGGAGCUGAGAUUUGCAGGCAGGGCUGUGGUGUGCAGCUUUGUCCUUCCUACAAGACCAUCUUUCCUGCCCUCCUGCUCCUCGGGUUGGACAUCACAGAAUCCCAGACUGCCUGAGGUUGGCAGAGACCUCUGGAGGUCAUCUGAUCUGACCCUCUGCUCAAGCAGGUCCACCCACAGCAGGUUGCCCAGGACUAUGUCCAGCUGGCUUUUGGAUAUCUCCAAGGAUGAAGGCUCUACCACCUCUCUCAUCCUCAGGUGCUCAGUGUGGUUUAUGGCUGACUCCAUGAGCAACAUGGCAAUCUGGCUCAGGGGGCUGAUCCAUGCUCAUUGCAGGGGCAUUGGACAAGAUGACCUUUAAAGGUCCCUUCCAACCCAAACCAGUCUGUGAUUCUAUGACCCCUUGUGCCCAAGCUGCAGAAGCUUUGCCUCCCUUGGUGGCCCUCAUCUGUCCAGGUGGUAGCGAUGGAGCAGUAGUGGGACGGUUUGUUGGAGAUCUGUCACGAGUGCACCAGGCGUACAGCCACAUGGGCACAUUUCGAUCUGUGUCAACCCCAUUGCGCUUUGCCCACUGGCCACAUGUUAGGGUUUGGGAACCUGCUAACGGUUCCUACUUCUUUCUCUAUUCCUAUUUCCUUUGAAAUAGUCAUUAUUCAAAAUAAAAAUCUGUCCCAGGUAAUUUCAGGAUUCAACUUGCUGCACAAAAUGAGCAAAGGAGUGAAAAUAACAGCGAGUAAAGAAUGGUUUAAUUUAGUAACUCAUUUUCUAUAAAGUAAUUAUUUUUUUUAAAAAAACUGGGAUUUGCUAAAAGUAUCACAAUUACUUUUUUCAUUAUGGCUACAGAAUGAAGGCGCUUGUUUAAUUAGCAAACAUUUGGCAUGCCUCUAAAUAGGCUUUUAAUUACAUUAAAAGGACACUGUCAAGGUGUCUUUCAUCAUUUUUAAUAGACCUGGAUUCCCCCCCCUCCCCGCAGUUGGAUGCAACUGUUUGGGUUUGAUUGGCUGUUUCAGACAAAAACUGGAGAAACUGUUUCCCUAGAAAGGAUAAAAGGCUCGGUCGUCUGUCCGCAGCUGAGCUGUGGUCCUCUUGCCUCCUCUGUUUCUCCACUUGCUGGUACCUGCUUUGCAGCGUGCGCAGGGAGGUGGGAUCCCUGCCACCCACGGCUCAUCGCCCAGGGACCCUUUGGCCUUGGUGGCACCUCUCCUGCCCCAGCCAGCCCCAAGAGUCACCCCACCUGUACACCCUGUGCUAAACCAGCAGGUUUUGCCCCAUAAAUUCCCCCAUGUGUUGUUCCUGGCCCCUCCCUGGUGAAGCAGAUGCUGGUACUACAGCCUUACUGCUCCCAGCUGCUCCGAGGAGUAGCUCUCCUAAUAAAUCACUAGUGCUCUAACUGAGCUUGAUGCGAGCUCCCGGAGGAAACUCAGCUCUGGGUGAGUUCCCCAGGCUCCUGCUUGCCUUCGGAUACGCGGCGUGCUCCUUCCACGGGCUGCAAGAUGUUGUUGGCAGGGGCCAAACCUGAUUAACCCCGGCUGGUGGCGGGGUGCUGUGUGUCCCCUGCCCGGUGCUGGGGAGGCUGGGCAUGCCCGUGCUGUUGGUAAAUGAUAAAUGAGGCUCUGAGCAGCAGCCCCAAGCGUGGCAGAGGCCGUUCGUCUGCAUCCCCCCCGGCAGGAGCUCAGGUUCCUGGCCCCGUUUUGGGGAAGGCUCUCUAAUUGAAAUAGAUGGGAGUUGCUGCAGGCAGAGGCAGCCUGGCGUGAGCAAAGGCUUCCCAGGGUGCCCCCAAAGGGCAAGAAAUAACAGCAAACCGGGGCGGGGUGGUGGGGCGGCAGGGCCAGUGGCAAUUCCCAGCCCUGUGGGGAUGCGUGACACAGGGGGUGGCACCAGGGCUGGCUGGGGACACGUGCUGGUCCUCUCUGCCCGCCUCUGAGCCAUGUGUCUGCCGUGCUCCUUGUGCCUCUUCAGGCUGAACAACCGGACUGAGAUGCCUCUUGUUUCAUUUCUGCUUGUGCUUCAGUCAUCAUUACUGUCCUCUGAGGAGAAGGAGCUGCAGGGAAUUAAAAUAUCGAGCAUCUUUGCUUUAAUAUUAUUGACUUUCUGCUCUGUCUGGUGCUGGCAGGGUUCCCUGCGGCCAAAUCCUCCUCCAGUGUGGUCUGAGUACCUCCUCUGGGGUUCCUCAAAUUUUCCCCUUCUUUUCUCCUCCACCCCAUCCACCACCUGCCUGUUCUUCUUCCUGCUCCCCACACAGUCCUUUACUUCUCCCGCGGUGACUGCCACCCCCCACGUGGCCUCGACCCCAAAGCAGAUGGAGAUGCGGAGCAGUGGGAGCCCAAGCUGGGCAGCAGAGGAGCCAUGGCCUUUCCUCCAUCCCUCUUGCUGGAAGGAAUUGCUGCACAGCUCGUCCACCCACCUUUUCGAAAGGGAAGCGAUGCCCCUUCCUGCCUCCCGCCUCGGCACCGGCUCCAGUUUCCAGGGAGACAGCCGCUGGGAAAGCAGUGGAAGCGCUGGAGCUGGCAGGAUCGCACAGCUCCACGUCAGGCAGUGGGUACCCCAGGGGUUCUCUCCGCCCCAGCCUGUUUCCCACCCAUGGGGGACAGAGGGACCCGCUCCCCCAGGAGCAGCUCCUGUCCGUUUGUCCUGCUCGGCAUCGCUGUGUGACAGUUCCUGGGCGGAGGGGACAGUGCUGCAGGAGCUGCCCCUUUCCUGCGUCCCUCCUGGGGGUCAUAAAGCCUCUUUGCUUUGCAGGAUCGGGGCCAGAGAGGGGUGCAGGAGCGGGGUCGUGGUGGGAGCAGUGCUGCUGUGCUGCCUCCAUGACUGUCGGUGUCCCCUCUGCCCCAGGGUGCCUGUCCCCUGGAGCUACGGGGGGGUGGAUGCUGGGAUGGAGGGGUAAAAUCCAGCCCGGGCUGGUGCCCUGGGAAUGUGGCUGCCCCGAUGCUGCUCUGUGCCCCGUCGCCGGUGUCACGGGGAGCUGAGGUCCCCAAAGUGUAACCUGCACACCAGCUUCAUCCCCACACCCGCCACUGAUGGAGAAGUGGAGCAAAUGGUUGUGAAUAACUAUGAUCACAGCUUUGCAAGGCUUCCAUAAAAUAUGAAUGCAUGAUAACAUCUACAUAAAUUAUUCAAGAUAAUCAGCACGGGGGAUAUUUCCCUGGCAAUUUCAUGUGGGCUCCUGGAGCUUGAUUGCCCCACCCACUGGGUAUGCAGCAGAAAGGGAAGGUCCUGGGCAUCCCAGGUCUUCCAGCUCCUCCCGUCGCUCUCCUUAGAUUAGAAACUGUUCUCCCUCCUGCCUCGAUGCACUUUCCCCCAGCUCCCAGCACUAUUAACACCUCUAAUUAGAGCUGCUUAUUGAUGUACUGCUGUUUGUCUAAGUGCGGCUGAUCAAGGCAGAGAAGCUAUCAAGCCUAAAAGUGAAUUGCACCUCCCUGCCUUGCAGUGCAGCAGCCUGCACGCCCGACAUGGUGCUUCUCAGCUCUGGGGGACCAAGGAGAAAAGAAGCAGGAUAGGGAAGAAAGUGCAGAAUAAGCGCGUGCUGCUGGCCAGCCACAACUGUGCCUUGUGUCUGCGCAAGCGACUGCAGGUAAUCCUGGCGUUUUCCUGGCUGGCAGUCGUUACAUGAGCGUGCUGUGCGUGCAGUAUCCCUCCGGAGAAAGGUGUCCCUCGCGUGGAUGCCUGUAUUCAGUACUGCCCCAUGGGGAAAAAUACCCAUCGGUAGAGCGGGUGCUCUGAGGCAGAGGUGUUUUCUUUUGGGCACUUACAGAAAUACCCGCCCCGUGGGGUCACUGGAGCUGAGCACCCAGAAAGCAGACCCAGCACCUGGGGAUGGAUGGAUGGAUGGAUGGAUGGAUGGAUGGAUGGAUGGAUGCUCGCUGCAGGAGAGCCCUGAGCACAGCGAGCUUGUGGGUGUGAGCGUGGGGGCAGGAGCCAAAACUUCCAAAGCAGCUGAGCAUGGGGGUCCCCCCCACGGCUGGGGUGCCAGGGGACACGGUCCUGUUCUCUCCUCCCAGCACAAGUACUCUAAAGUGCCUGGACGUUUGCACCUCCGUAACACCACCCCCGGACGAGAGCAAUUCCCGGUGCUGAGGCACUGUCUGAGGAUGCGGCUGGUACUGGUGUAACUGGUGUAGGGACGGAGAAAGGAAGGUUAACUUAGCACCGUGAGGACAUGCGUUUGGACUCUGCCUCCUGCCAGCGGCUGGGCAAGAGCCGGUGCGGUGACCCGCACGCGCCGAGGCAGCUUUCCUGAUCUCCUCGCCUUGCUUUGAACCCGCCAGCUCCUCCCGGACCGCACGCGCUGACGGGGGAAGGUGGCUCUUGGCUGCAGGGCCGAGCAACCGGGCGCUGCAGGAGGCAGGAUGCCGGCUGUCCCUAAAGCAUGGCGACCCCCCGGCACCUCUAACCAUCAGACAUCCUGGGGACGAGGUGGAGAGAGCGAUGCGCUCCAGAAGGAGCGGUUCCCUUCCCCCUCGCCGUCGGGUUUUAUUAAUUCCUCACGCGGUGAAGUCUCUAUUAAUAAUGGUUCUAGGAUCUGGCUGGUAAGCUGGGUAAUGAGAUUCUCUACCUGCUGUUCCUGUGCUGCUGUGAUUGUGUUUGGAGGACAAAAUUCUAUGUGGAUUAAUUAAAAUGAAAAACAAAAGGAAAAAAAGGGGUUUGUUUGAAUUAUUUACUAGUUUCCAGGAGACAAAGCAGUAAUUGGAAGUGUCUUAUUGCAGGUGUUUGGAGGGGGGGACGCUCCCUCCUCCAAGCGAGGAGCGAAGUCUGGUUAUUUACUGGUGUUGGAGGAGAUUUAUCAAUCCUCGCGAAUGCCGAGCACAGCUCCAAUUGCUCCUCGAUUUGCUGAUUCUGAUUUUCUCCUCUUGGUUUUGGAAAUUCAGAAGAGACAGGCUCCGAGACAGCUUUGAUGUGGGUAAAUGUGGGAACGCACGCUCUGCCAGCAGCGCGCUCUUCCCUCGUGCGUAAGUAAAUGUAAGGGAAAAAACCCAAACCAUCACGCCCUGAGGAACUGCCUGUUCCCAGUUGGCUUUCCAUCCCCACCAGCGUCCCUCCAGGUCACACGAAUGCCACCGCGUGUUC